ensembl:lncRNA
CCCAGCAAAGGCAUUUCUCUCUCCCUUCCGCAGGCAUCCCUCAGCCUGGCAACAGCAUUUCACUCGCUCCCUUCCUCAGGCAUCCCUCAGCCUGGCAACAGCAUUUCACUCGUUCCUGCUCCACAGCUCGGGAAUCGCAUUUCUCUCUUUCCCCUUCACGUGCUCCUCAUCGGGAGAAGUAAUUUUUUUUCCUCUUUUCACGCGGUCCCGCCUUCCUUCCCCCCCCCCCCCCCCGCGCGCCAGAACGCAGCAAUUCGCUUCCCCCCCCCCUCACGCGCUCCUUUGCGCGGGAGCCACGUUUUUCCUCACUCCCUUCACGCGCCUAAGUCUCGAGUCUCCCCUCGGAGAGCGGGCACGGCAUUGUUCCCCUCACAUUCCCCGACCCCCUUCCCCCCCUCACGUGCCCCUCAGCCCGCGCACGGCAUUUCUCAGCCCCCUUCCUCAGGCACCCCUCAUCACGGAACAGCAUUUCUCUUGCUCCCGCCCCACAGAUUCGGAACGACGUUUCUUUUCCCCUCAUGCGCUGCUUCAUCGGGAAAACAAGGUUUUUUCUCUUCUCACGCGGCCCCACUGCUCCGAAACGCGGCACAUCUCCCCUCCACGCGCUCCUCAGCGCAAGAAACACAUUUUUCCUCACUCCCUUCACGCUCCCGUCUCACGCCUCCCCUCAGCCCAGCAACGGCAUUUCUCUCGCUACCAUCCCGCAGCUCGGGAAUUGCAGUUUUCUCUUUCCUUCAUGCGCUUCCCCCACCGGCAGAACAAACUUUUUCUCUCCUUCGCUCGGUCCCAUUUUCCUCCCCCCCCCCCCCCCCCCCCCCCCCCCCCCCCCCCCCCACCCUCGAGUGCCGGAACGCAGCAGUUUGCUUCCCCCCCCUCACGCACUCCUCAGCGCAAGAACCACGUUUUUCCUCACUCCCUUCACGCCGCCCGCAUCUCGCGCCUCCCCUCAGCCAGGGCACGGCAUUGUUCCCCUCACUCUUCACAUUCCCCUCCUCCCUCACACGCCCCUCAGCCCGCGCUUUUCCUCAGGCACCCCUCAUCACAGGAACGGCGUUUCUUUCCCCUCGUGAGCUCCUCCAUCGGGAGGACAAAGUUGUUUUUUUUUUCCUCUCCUCAUGCGGUCCCACCGCCCCGGAACGUGGCAUUUCUCCCCCUCACACACUCCUCGGCGCGAUAACCACAUUUCACUCCGUUCACGCUCCCGCCUCGUGCCUCCCCUCAGCAACGGCAUUUCUCCCCCCCCGCCCUUCCUCAGGCAUCCUUCAGCCCGGGAACGGCAUUUCUCUAGAUCCCGCCCCACAGCUCGGGAACGGCUUUUCUCUCUUCCCUCUCACGUGCUCCUCCAUCGAAAGAACAAGGAAGCUUUCAAGCUGAUUUCCUUGUCUUGAAGAAGGGUAAAUUUUACCUUAAUGAUUCCAUGAUUCUAUAAGCCCACCCUCAUGCCAACAGCCAAGUAAUGAGGCUUCCCUUUAAAAUCAGAGUAUCAUAGAAUAUCCCAAGCUGAAAGGGACUCACAGAGAUCACUGAGUCCAACUCUUGGCUCCACACAACACCACCCAAACCCAAUAUCUGGCAGCAGUGUCCAAACACUACUUGAGCUACAAAACCUUGGGGCCAUGCCCACUGCCCUGCAGGGAAGGGGGGGAACCAAUACAUGCCCACCAUCUUCCAAUGCCAAACAUUUCCCUAACCCCCACAAGCCAUGUCCCAGACAGCCCUGCAAAGCUGUCAUUCCAUGAAAUGGAGUAUGUCUUGAUCAGCUCAUCUGUGCAAAUUGGCUAAUGGUGGUGACAAUGUUGAAAAACAGUGUUUUAUAGCUGAGAAUUUGCUCUAUCAAAUAGCGUUAUUGGUGCUUUUUCUGCCUGUUGCAUGGACAUUAAUAAGAGGCAUUACCUCCAGAGCAACCUACAUGGAAGAUUUCCACAGCACUGUGAGCAUACUGAGAGGCUUAUUAAAAUAAUAACAGCACAUUUGUUAAUAAUUAAUCACUGGCAUUAGCAGAGGGACUUUCAGCCAAA